AACUGACUGUAGUUUGGAGGAAUAGUGUUAUUGACCAGCAGAUCAGAGAACCAGGUGAAGAGAAACUGUGCCCAAGUAGAGCAGAGGGACUCCCCUGGCACAGAGGACCAAGAAAAACCCUGCCCAAGGGGAAAGAGGUUUACACAAGUCAAUACCAUUGUGGACAGGGAAAAUUCCAGGGAUGGAGAUCAGGAGUGAGGAGGUCAUGAGUGGGGUCCCAAUCCAACUCCCUCUGAAGGCAAUGAAAAGAUCCCAGUGGACUUGGAUGAAGUCUUACAGCAGAGAACUCCUUAUUCAUUUAAUUCAUCCUGUGGCUUUAACUAAGGCAAAACUUCCAUUCACUUUUAUGCACAUUUCAACUGAGUAAGCCACUGCAGGGUUUGGCACUUUGUUAUUUGUGAUUUCUGGUUUAUUAGUGCAAUCUCUGAGACUAUUUUAUAUAGAUGCUAUAGAAGUAAGACACUAUAUUAUAAUUUCUUUUUGCCUUAAUGAAUGACAUUCAAUAUUUAAAGAGAAGAAAAUUAUCGUUCAGUUUCAUCUGGGUCAGUUUUUCUGUACAGUCUAAUUGUUACAAGGAAGAGGGCAUAGAUUUAGCUGUGAUGAAUUUGCUGAACAGGAAUAUGGUGAAAGGGUUUGGAUAUUUUUGAGGGGAGGGGCCCUCUGUCCUGAUAUGCUUGAAGUUCAAUCCUUAUAUUUGUAAGUUUUUAAAUACUACAUUGACUGUCAGAUUGAAUGAGCCUCCCCUGAGCUCCCGCAAACACAUCUCAUUUCCCUUGAAGUCAGUCUUGUUGACUGCCCUUUCCACAGAAAGUUAGUGGUAUCUAUGGCUUUUGCUAAAGUAUGAUUUAGAGGUGCAGUGUUAGAACAUAUUAGCUAACAUGUUUUAAAAUUCUUAUGUAGGCAAGACAGAGUAUGCUAUACAAUGAGCUAAGCCAGUUGAGUUAAUAUCAUUACACAUGUUAAAUGUUGUGUGUCUUGUCUACACUAGAUUUUUCAAACAUGUUAGCUAACACAUUCUAACAACACCACACUUUAAAUCCUAGCCCAGACAACACUUAUUUGUCAGAGAAAGCAACAGCAUCAGGAAUCCUGAGUUCUUUUAAUGGCUCUCCUAGGGAUCUGCAAUAUAGUUAUGAGGAAGUCACUUCACUAUUCUGUGCCUCACUUUGUUUCUAUAAAAUAGCUACAACAAUUCUUACCUGCCUCAUGCAAGUGCUGUGAAAGAUUAAAGGGGUUUGAGAAAUGCAUAAACUUAAUUAGAAUUUGACUAAACAUUGUUGUCUUUUAAAUUAUAAAAUAGCUUUAAUGUGUCAAACUUCUUCAAUAAGUCAAAUCUUUUUCAGUUACAUAGCAACAAAUAAUUCAUUCUGACAUGGUACAAAAAUGUACCCCAAAAAGUGUGUUAAUGUAAAAGGGCUUAACAUUGACUAGAAACUUUUGGAGACCUGAAAAUAAACUCAAAAGCAAUCAUGACAGUUAAGCUAGAGAACUUACUACUAAGCAUGCAUCAUACAUACUUUCCAUAAUAUUUUAUCCUCUUAUCAUAAUACUAAUUGCUUCAAGGUUUUAUGAUGUAAUUAUAAUACCAUAAUAGAGGCAAAACAAUGUCUGCCUGGUUCUGUCAAGAUGAUGUUAUGAUAUUAGAAAGGAGCAAUGUCAAUGCAAGCGAAUG